GGACAGGAACUCAGAUCUGAGAACAUCUUCAAUCAUAACCCAUCCUAUCAAGUCUAAUCCAAACAUCAUAAGACUGAGAUACUGUUCCGAGUACAAUUUCUCAUCCUGGUAACAUCUUCGUCAAGUCACAGUGUUGCCAUUAGGCCCCUGACCUGAAGAUGGGUCUCAGCAAAAGAUGCCUAACUCCUUCUGCAAUCCUCCAAUUACACGCAGAAAUUCAGGCCCAGACCCAGUGUUGUUAUUAUCUACUCUGCUCAGAAAAAAAAUGCACAGAGUUCACCUGUGUCCUCAGCUCUAUCAUCAUGACCCCCACCUGUCAGCAUGGCUACUGGAGUGGAGAGCCAACUUCAUCUACACUUGGCUUAUUCUGCACCCAUAAAAAUCAAUGAAUGGCCUGAUGAACCAAAUGAAAACAACGAAGCAUAUGAAGAUGAUGGAUAUCCAUCAAAAUACUCAGGUGCAAUGAAAAAUGAAACUGUGAUCAAAGAGAUAAAAACCCAGAGAGAUCAUGAUAUAGCAUAUGCUAUACCAAAAAGAUACAUCAAAUGGAAUCUAGGGAAUAUGGAUUUAUAAGGUUCAAUCCAAAAGUGCCCUGUAAUCCAUUCUCAUAUAUCACUACACUAUGUGAAACAAUAAAUGCAUUAUUUAAUCAGAAAAGUAUGGCUUC
rnacentral:lncRNA from 1 species